CUUGAUGGAGCCGAGCAGCAGCGGCCGGCCGGCCGGACGGUCCUGACCGUAGGUGGCGAGCAGCGCCUGCGCCUC
rnacentral:antisense_RNA from 1 species